rnacentral:rRNA from 1 species
AUGAAAAGUAAAGGGCAACGAAGUUUGCACAUCGAGGAACCGGAAAUUUUUGAAGAUGCAAAUAUGGAGAAGUGUUGGCGUCGUGCUAUGAAUGAAGAGUUGUGGUCGAUCCGAGACAACAAUACAUGGGAGCUCGCGGAUCUUCCCAACGGUCAGAAUGCCAUAGAGCUCAAGUGGGUGUACAAAGUCAAGAAAGAUGCCGAAAAAAACUUGAUGAAGCAUAAAGCAAGGCUUGUAGCUAAAGCAUGCGUGCAAGAGCAAGAUGUGGACUUCGAAGAAGUGUUCGCUCCAGUUGCAAGGAUGGACUCGGUGAGACUACUUAUAGCUCUCGCGGCUCAAGAAUCUUGGAGGAUACAUCACUUGGAUGUGAACUCCGCGUUUUUGACCGGGGAGUUAGAAGAAGAAUUGUAUGUGAAGCAACCACCAGGGUACAUCCAAGAAGGAGAGGAACACAAGGUAUUGAAGCUACACAAGGCGUUGUACGGGCUACGACAAGCUCCUCAGGCAUGGAAUGUUGAGCUUGACCGUACAUUUAUUUCUCUUGGAUUUGAGAAAGCCCCACUAGAGCAUGCUAUGUACAAGCAAGGUGAUGGCAAUGAUCGUCUACUAGUGGGCAUCUAUGUGGAUGAUUUGCUGAUAACUGGAGCAGACGAAGAGGUGAUUGCAAACUUCAAACUACAAAUGAAGAAGCUAUUCAAGAUGACUGAUCUAGGGCUCUUGAGUUACUACCUCGGGAUCGAGGUACAGCAAAAGCCGGAGGGGAUCAUAAUAUGA